rnacentral:lncRNA from 1 species
AUAUGCACCUAUGGGUUGGUUCUCAACCAAUUUUUUUUUCAAAUAACUUUUAGUAUUUAAUUUAGCCUCAGAUUUCAUUUCAGUAGGUGAUGGGCCUCUAUUGAAAGUCUCGAUUAGGUCAAACAAUUAACAUGAACCUACUCAGUGAUUCUAGCCAAAGAAUGAUUAGACCCAAGGAUGGCUAAUGAUCAGGUCCAAGGAUGGCUCUGUCAACCCAACCAUUCAUCAGAUAGUUCAACAGAGUUAUCAUAUGAUGAAUGAUAAUUCUAUCAUUCAGAGAGAACACC